UAAACUUGACCUGUCUGGCACCCUGUCUAUAUUUUCUCAGUGACGGGUGUGCCCGAAAGUUCGAGUGAGA